GAAGGGUUCUCAACUUUGGGGUAGACGUAUCUCCUGUGGUAGACUACUGGAGAGGAAUUCUGUGGAUACGUGACAGGUAAUACAAUAGUCACUCUUGCUAGUUUUCUAUAGAUCGCGUCGUUUCUCACGCGUACGAAACAGGUACCGUCAUCACAAGCACGACUGUUAACACGCAGAUAUCAAAAGAUUUCCUUCUCUCGUGUGUCAUACUUUGAAGGUUUCGAGCAUGGAGAAUUGUUAAAUCAAGAGCAGGUACCGUCAUCACAAAUAAGACAUCAGAAAAUUUCCUUCUCUCGUGUGCCAUGCCUUGAAAGGUGGUGAAGUAGAAGUGGCUGGACACUGGAGUAUGGAAGA